rnacentral:lncRNA from 1 species
CGUGAAAAACACUGUUCAUAUGAACAGUGUUACAAAAAAAUAUAUCCACUGUUUAUCUUCUUCCUCCCUCCUUGCAUCAGGGCCGUCCACCUUCCUCCCGUCGAUCCCGCGUCGAUCCGCCGCCCGUGCCAGCCGCAUCAACCGUGUCCAGCUCCUCUGCCAUCAGCCCGUCCCAGCCGGCCCUUCUUCCGCCCGUGACACAGCCCAUUCCAUCUCCCAUCAGCCGAGAUCCCGCAACCCGAUCAGCUCCUUCCAGCCAGCCGAGCGUCUUCCACAUCCAAGAGUCCGGAUCCCCAGCUCCAAGCCGUGAUCCGCUCCUUCCAGCGCGCGUCCUUCCUUCCGGUGACCCAGCAUCCCAUUCUUCAUCAUCAUUGUCCGCGAUCUGCUCCCCCAGCAUCACGCCCCGUAAUUAUCAGCCCAUGAUCCCUUCCCGCUUCCCGAAUGAGCACCCCGGACGAUCCUCUUCACGGAUCCAUCGCGGGCUGAUAUGAUGAGGGGAUCUAUAUAAGGAGCUGAGGGGGGCGGGGUAUAGGGGGGAGCUCGGUUGAGAAGAAAGAAACAGG